rnacentral:tRNA from 1 species
ACAGUGGUGGUUCAGUGGUAGAAUUAUCACCUUCCAUGCAGGAGAUCCGAGUUCGAUUCCUGGUCAUUGUA